AGACAGAUGAGAAAGUGGGAGAAUGUGGUGUCAUGACUUUUUUCUUGAAGGGCAUCCUCUGUUGACGAAUCUAUUUGUUGCCUACGAUUCCCCUGAGAAUGGAUCUCUCAGUUGGAUCAAGAAGGCCGAAAGCCAGGCAGUCAAGUUCAAGUUGUGGACCUCUAGGGACUUGAGAUGAGAAACCUAAAAGAGAGAUGAGAGUUUACAGAUGAGAGACAACAAUGAGACUUGAGGUUGGAAGAGAUGAGCAAACAGGACACAAUAAGAGAAUCAAGAGAGGAGAUACAAGGGAUGAGGGUGAGGUUCGAGAGAGAAAAAUUAGGGAAGACAUUGUCAGGGAAUGAGAAGAGGCGGCGAAGAACUGGGAUGAGAGGUAGAGGCAGAGAAUGAAUUGGGGAAGUUUAGGGAUCUGCUGCUGGGAUUGGAGAAGGAAUUGAAUGAGGUCGAGGAGUGGGACCAUGGGAGAAAUUAAAGGUGCAAUAUAGGGAGAAGACACCGGCG
rnacentral:lncRNA from 1 species